GACGAACGCUGGCGGCAGGCUUAACACAUGCAAGUCGAACGGAUCCUUCGGGAUUAGUGGCGGACGGGUGAGUAACACGUGGGAACGUGCCCUUAGGUUCGGAACAACACAGGGAAACUUGUGCUAAUACCGGAUAUGCCCUUCGGGGGAAAGAUUUAUCGCCUUUGGAGCGGCCCGCGUCUGAUUAGCUUGUUGGUGAGGUAAAGGCUCACCAAGGCGACGAUCAGUAGCUGGUCUGAGAGGAUGGCCAGCCACACUGGGACUGAGACACGGCCCAGACUCCUACGGGAGGCAGCAGUGGGGAAUCUUGCGCAAUGGGCGAAAGCCUGACGCAGCCAUGCCGCGUGGAUGAUGAAGGUCUUAGGAUUGUAAAAUCCUUUCACCGGGGACGAUAAUGACGGUACCCGGAGAAGAAGCCCCGGCUAACUUCGUGCCAGCCGCCGCCGUAACAC
rnacentral:rRNA from 1 species